UGGUUCUGGCAUCGCUGAAGGGCGCAGCGAAAUGCGAUAAGUAAUGUGAAUUGCAGGAUUCAGUGAAUCAUCGAAUCUUUGAACGCACAUUGCGCCCGCCAGUAUUCUGGCGGGCAUGCCUGUCCGAGCGUCAUUUCAACCCUCAAGCCCCCGGGCUUGGUGUUGGAGAUCGGCGAGCCCUCCGGGGCGCGCCGUCUCCCAAAUAUAGUGGCGGUCCCGCUGUAGCUUCCUCUGCGUAGUAGCACACCUCGCACUGGGAAACAGCGUGGCCACGCCGUAAAACCCCCCCACUUCUGAAAGGUUGACCUCGGAUCAGGUAGGAAUACCCGCUGA
rnacentral:misc_RNA from 1 species